AUCUACCAUUUAGUGGGGAAUAACUGUUGGAAACGACAGCUAAUACCGCAUAAUAUUGCUGGAUAAUUUCCAGUAAUGAAAGGAGCUUUCAAGCUCCGCUGAUUGAUGAGGAUGCGGCGCAUUAGCUAGUUGGUAGGGUAAUGGCCUACCAAGGCAAUGAUGCGUAGCCGAUCUGAGAGGAUGAACGGCCACAUUGGGACUGAGACACGGCCCAAACUUCUACGGAAGGCAGCAGUAGGGAAUUUUUCACAAUGGGCGAAAGCCUGAUGGAGCAAUGCCGCGUGACUGAUGAAGGUCUUCGGAUUGUAAAGGUCUGUUGUAAGGGAAGAAAUGGUAAAACAGGAAAUGNUUUUAUCUAUGACGGUACCUUACCAGAAAGCCACGGCUAACUAUGUGCCANCAGCCGCGGUAAUACAUAGGUGGCAANGCGUUAUCCGGAUUUAUUGGGCGUAAAGGGUGCGUA
rnacentral:rRNA from 1 species